UUACAUUUUUAAAAUAAAGAGUAAACUUCAAAUACGGCCUAUGUGGUUUUGUACUUUUUUAUUUUCGUGUCUUAUGAUUUAAAAUAUAUAAAUUUAGUACCUUGUGAUUUUAUUUUUUCUUUUCAUCAACCCAUCUAUUAACUUUUUUAAAUUAUAUACAAAAAACUCUAGAUACCUUAUAUAUAGUUUAUCGAAUAUUCACUUUAGUAUCUUUUAGUUUUAACUUUGUCACUAAUUUAACAAAAAAAUUAGUAAAGAGGAUAACAAAAAGAAAAAAAUAAAACCAAGGAUACGAAAGUGAUACACUUUAAAACACAUAAUACUAAAAUGAAAAAGUACGAAACUAUAGAAAUAGUAUUUGAAGUUUUUUUUUAAAUAAAUAAUCAAGUUUGACAUAACAAAAGUAGAUGGAUUGUUGAUG
rnacentral:lncRNA from 1 species